UACGAAGGGGCUAGCGUUGCUCGGAAUGACUGGGCGUAAAGGGCGCGUAGGCGGCUUGCACCGUCAGAUGUGGAAAUUCCUGGGCUUAACCUGGGGGCUGCAUUUGAUACGUGUGGGCUUGAGUGCGGAAGAGGGUCGUGGAAUUCCCAGUGUAGAGGUGAAAUUCGUAGAUAUUGGGAAGAACACCGGUGGCGAAGGCGGCGACCUGGUCCGUGACUGACGCUGAGGCGCGAAGCGUGGGGAGCAAACAGG
rnacentral:rRNA from 1 species